rnacentral:rRNA from 1 species
GACGUAGGGCGCGAGCGUUGUCCGGAUUUAUUGGGCGUAAAGAGCUCGUAGGCGGCUCGUUGCGUCGGCUGUGAAAACCCGCAGCUCAACUGUGGGCUUGCAGCUGAUACGGGCGGGCUGGAGUUCGGUAGGGGAGACUGGAAUUCCUGGUGUAGCGGUGAAAUGCGCAGAUAUCAGGAGGAACACCGGUGGCGAAGGCGGGUCUCUGGGCCGAUACUGACGCUGAGGAGCGAAAGCGUGGGGAUCAAACAGG